rnacentral:rRNA from 1 species
AUUGAACGCUGGCGGCAUGCCUUACACAUGCAAGUCGAACGGCAGCACGGGAGCUUGCUCCUGGUGGCGAGUGGCGAACGGGUGAGUAAUACAUCGGAACGUACCCUGAAGUGGGGGAUAACGUAGCGAAAGUUACGCUAAUACCGCAUAUUCUGUGAGCAGGAAAGAGGGGGAUCGCAAGACCUCUUGCUUUAGGAGCGGCCGAUGUCGGAUUAGCUAGUUGGUGAGGUAAAGGCUCACCAAGGCGACGAUCCGUAGCUGGUCUGAGAGGACGACCAGCCACACUGGAACUGAGACACGGUCCAGACUCCUACGGGAGGCAGCAGUGGGGAAUUUUGGACAAUGGGCGCAAGCCUGAUCCAGCCAUUCCGCGUGAGUGAAGAAGGCC